UCUGGGAAAGAUUCAUCGGUAUGGGAUGGGGUCGCGUCCUAUCAGCUUGAUGGCGGGGUAACGGCCCACCAUGGCUUCGACGGGUAGCCGGCCUGAGAGGGCGACCGGCCACAUUGGGACUGAGAUACGGCCCAGACUCCUACGGGAGGCAGCAGUGGGGAAUAUUGCACAAUGGGCGCAAGCCUGAUGCAGCGACGCCGCGUGCGGGAUGACGGCCUUCGGGUUGUAAACCGCUUUUGACUGGGAGCAAGCCCUUCGGGGUGAGUGUACCUUUCGAAUAAGCACCGGCUAACUACGUGCCAGCAGCCGCGGUAAU
rnacentral:rRNA from 1 species